rnacentral:rRNA from 1 species
GGAAGAACAACAGGGAUUGCCUCAGUAACUGCGAGUGAAGCGGCAAAAGCUCAAAUUUGAAAUCUGCGUCCUUUGGGACGUCGAGUUGUAAUUUUUAGAUACGUUUUCGACCAGACAGGCCUGCCUUAAGUCCCUUGGAACAGGGCGUCACAGAGGGUGAGAAUCCCGUGAACGGUAGGCCUCGAGGCAGAAGAUACGUUAUUCGACGAGUCGAGUUGUUUGGGAAUGCAGCUCAAAAUGGGUGGUAAAUUUCAUCUAAAGCUAAAUAUAGGGGAGAGACCGAUAGCGCACAAGUAGAGUGAUCGAAAGAUGAAAAGCACUUUGAAAAGAGAGUUAAAAAGUACGUGAAAUUGUUGAAAGGGAAGCGCUUGAGGCCAGACUCAAUCUCCGCCGAUCAACCUCGGUUCUCCGUGGUGCAAUCGGCGGCUUUUGGGACAGCAUCGGUUCCGGCGGAGGGAAAAAGCCUCAGGAAAUGUGGCACCCUUCGGGGUGUGUUAUAGACCUCUGGGCAAUGCCUCCAGCUGGGACCGUGGACCGCGCCGCUUGGGCUAGGAUGCUGUCGUAAUGGCCUUCAGCGACCCGUCUUGAAACACGGACCAAGGAGUCUAACAUCUAUGCGAGUGUUCGGGUGGAAAACCCUUGCGCGUAAUGAAAGUGAACGGAGGUGGGAAUCAAAAAAAGACGCACCAUCGACCGAUCCUGAAGUCUUCGGAAGGAUUUGAGUAUGAGCAUAGCUGUUGGGACCCGAAAGAUGGUGAACUAUGCCUGAAUAGGGUGAAGCCAGGGGAAACUCUGGUGGAGGCUCGCAGCGGUUCUGACGUGCAAAUCGAUCGUCAAAUUUGGGUAUAGGGGCGAAAGACUAAUCGAACCAUCUAGUAGCUGGUUCUGCGAUUUUCCCCCCCCAAAAAAAAC